rnacentral:rRNA from 1 species
AGGUGGGCUAAGCAUGGUCGGACAUCAUGCGGUUAGUGUAAUGGCACAAGCCCGCUUAACUGCGAGACAGACACGUCGAGCAGGUACGAAAGUAGGUCAUAGUGAUCCGGUGGUUCUGUAUGGAAGGGCCAUCGCUCAACGGAUAAAAGGUACUCCGGGGAUAACAGGCUGAUACCGCCCAAGAGUUCACAUCGACGGCGGUGUUUGGCACCUCGAUGUCGGCUCAUCACAUCCUGGGGCUGAAGCCGGUCCCAAGGGUAUGGCUGUUCGCCAUUUAAAGUGGUACGCGAGCUGGGUUUAGAACGUCGUGAGACAGUUCGGUCCCUAUCUGCCGUGGACGUUGGAGAUUUGAGGAAAGCUGCUCCUAGUACGAGAGGACCGGAGUGGACGAACCGCUGGUGUUCGGGUUGUGUCGCCAGACGCAUUGCCCGGUAGCUAUGUUCGGAUAGGAUAACCGCUGAAAGCAUCUAAGCGGGAAGCCCCUUCCAAGAUGAGAUCUCCCUGGACCCUUGAGGUCCCUGAAGAGCCGUUCAAGACCAGGACGUUGAUAGGUCGGGUGUGUAAGCGCUGCGAGGCGUUGAGCUAACCGAUACUAAUUGCUCGU